rnacentral:lncRNA from 1 species
CAAUGCCCAUGCAUUGCGUGCAGUGUCCCACAAGGUGGAUGCGGUAUACUGUGACGGAGGAUGCAGUGCCCAUGAAGGAGGAUGCAGUGAGCCUGAAGUGAUUGCAGUGUGCUGGCAGUGCCACUUCAACUGUAUACAGUGUCUCUGCAGUGGUUGCAGUGCUGUCAGCAUUGUCCGGGAAUGCGGAUGCAGUACCCAGGAGGUGGAUGCAGUGUCACACAAGUUGGAUGCUGUAUGUUGUGACAGAGGAUGCAGUGCCCAUGAUGGUGGAUGCAGUGAUCCUGCAGUUGUUUCCGUACACACUGCAGUGUCCCUGAAUGUGGAUGCAGUGAACACGAAGUGGAUGCAGUGAAUGUUCAGUGAUUGUGGUGCACCUGCAGUGGCACUUCAGCUGCAUACAGUGUCGCUGCAGAGGUUGCAGUGCUGCCUGCAUUGUCCGGGAAUGUGAAUGCAGUGCCCAUGCAUUGGAUGCAGUGUCCCACAAGGUGGAUGCAGUAUGUUGUGAUGGAGGAUGGAGUGCCCCUGAAGGUGGAUGCUGUGUCCCUGCUGUGGUUGCGCUGCCCCCAACAUUGUCCUGGAAUGUGGAUGCAGGGUUCAUG